rnacentral:lncRNA from 1 species
UACAGGUACCACGAGGGGCUAUCCUACUUUAGGAACAGUAAAGGACGAUCCCUUGUUCUGCACUGCAGAAAGAUCACAAAAACAAAUAACAAGUAACAGGUCUAACAUAGUCGCCACCAACGCGACCUGCAGGCAGGUCCAACGACCCCCACAGCAAAGACGGUCAAAUCUCGGGUGGCUUUCCCAGUGAACAGUUGCAUCUCUCCCGGCCGCAAACAGUAUCAUCCUUCAGU